CCCGGGUCUGCAGACUCCGCGACCCUGUCAGGGCCUGUCUGCGUGAAGGUGCCGGGGACUCCACAGCGCCCCGCCGACAUGGGAAAGUCUCUUUCUCAUUUGCCUUUGCAUUCAAGUAAAGAAGAUGCUUAUGAUGGAGUCACAUCUUCUGACAACAUGAGGAAUGGAUUGGUUAGUGGUGAAGUCCAUAAUGAAGAUGGAAGACAUGGAGACGUCUCUCAGUUUCCAUACGUGGAAUUUACAGGAAGAGAUAGUGUUACUUGCCCCACUUGUCAGGGAACAGGCAGAAUUCCCUGGGGCCAAGAAAACCAACUGGUGGCACUGAUUCCAUAUACGGAUCAGAGAUUAAGACCAAGAAGAACAAAGCUGUAUAUGAUGGCCUCCAUGUUUGUCUGUCUGCUCCUUUCAGGAUUGGCUGUGUUUUUCCUUUUCCCUCGUUCUAGCGACGUGAAAUACAUUGGCGUAAAAUCAGCAUAUGUCAGUUACGAUCCUCAAAAGCCUAGAAUAUAUUUAAAUAUCACAAAUACACUACAUUUUACAAACAAUAACUAUUAUUCCGUUGAAGUUGAAAACAUCACUGCUCAAGUUCGAUUUUCAAAAACAGUUACUGGAAAAGCACGCUUAAACAACAUAACCAAUAUUGGUCCACUUGAUAUGAAGCAAAUUGAUUACACGGUACUUAAUGUUAUAGUAGAGGAAAUGAAUUACAUGUUUGAUUUCUGUACACUGGCAUCCAUCAAAGUACAUACAUAGUACUCAUGAUGCAAGUUACUGUGACAACUACAUACUUUGGCCAUUCUGAACAGACAUCCCAGGAGAGGUACCAGUAUGACCACUGUGGAAGGAAUACCACAUAUCAAUUGGGGCAGUCUGAGCAUCUAAAUGUACUUCAGCCACAACAGUAAAAACUGAAAGAGAUAUAUCUAGAGAAGGACAAAUAUCUACUGAUAUUUUCCAUACUCUUAAAGAGGAGGUAUUUCCUAACAGGAUAUCUUAAAUUGAACAAACCUAAAGUUUACACUUCUAUUUUAAGAACACAGUUAAAA